UGGUUCAAGCAGGCGCACGUGGGCCGCUA
rnacentral:sRNA from 1 species